AUAUCACAGAGAUGUGAUAGAUAUUGAUAAAGCUUUUUGAAAACUAAUUGGAUUGUAGCUACGAUGAGCUUUUCAAUUUUCCAACAAUGAUUGUAGUAAGUUGUUGGAGCUGUAUAUUCUCAAUAAUAGAAGUUAUUCAUUCUUAACUAUGUUUUCUUCGUUAAAUUGAUUAAUUAUUGUUAAGCCAUCCCAACUUAAUGAUAAUUGAUGAAUUGCUAACAUUGAGUUGUGUAGGGCUCAAUGUAGAUAAUUACGCUUAGCUACUUAACUGUAGAAGGUAAUUAUUAUACUAGUGUUACUCUAGUCAGAAGAUUUUCAUAAUUAAUAACAUCCCCAAAUUAUUAUUGAAAAUAACUGUAAAAACAUUCCCUUAAUAAGCGAAAAAAGUCGUGAGUCACUCCCAAACUCACGACUUU
rnacentral:ncRNA from 24 species